AGAUAAAGAAGAUUUUUUAGUCGUACCUUUUGUAUCAGGGGAGUUUAAAAAUUUUAGUAAUAAAAUUAUAUCGAUUAGUUCGGAAUUUUUUAUGUAGUAUUAGUAGCACUUAGUAGUAUAAUAUAUUAAGGGGUGAAAAGUGUGCGACGGGCUUGGUAUCUAUUUGCUUUGAGAUUAUAGGGUUAAGCUUUUAUAUAUCUGUCAUUUGGGCAAAGUUAGAAAAAUUAGGCUUUGAAUUAGCCAGUAUUAUAUGUUGUUUUAAACAAUUUUUGUAAAAUUAUUUUUAGGUAGAAUUAAAAGACUAUACUAGUUUGUUUAUACUGGUAUAAAUAAUGAAUUUAUUGAAUAAUAAAUGGAAUUUGAAAAUAACUCAGAUUAAGCUAGAAAGUUUAUCAAAAACAUUUCUUUUUUUGUUGAAAGUAGGGCCUGCCCAGUGAAGAUUUAACGGCUGCAGUAUUUUGACUGUGCUAAGGUAGCAUAAUAAUUUGUUUUUUAAUUGAGGACUGGAAUGAAAGGUUUAACUAGUUUAUUUUAUUUUUUUAGUUAAGUAGGAAAUUUAAGUAAGGGUAAGAAUUCUUUUAUAGUCUAGGGGACGAUAAGACCCUAGAAGCUUUAUAAUAAGAAUAGUAGUUAUUUGGUUGGGACUAAUUUGUUUUACUGGGGCGGUAGUAGUAAAUAGACUAUAAUGUAUGUGGUAGAUCCUUAAUAUUUGGAUAAAACGUGUUAGUUACUCUAGGGAUAACAGUGUAAUAUUUUUGGAGAGAUCUUAUUGAUAGAAAUGUUUGCAACCUCGAUGUUGAAUUAGAAUUUCUACUAGAUGCAGUAGGCUAGUAAGCGGGUUUGUUCAACC
rnacentral:rRNA from 1 species